rnacentral:lncRNA from 1 species
UAUUGACUGGACGCACUGGGCUUUUGGGCAGGAGGUCCUAUCCUUGUUGGGAGUCGAGGAUGGCCAAACUUCUGCAGGAGGACAUGAUCUACAUCCGAGGGCGCAGAAAGAAACUUCAGGUGGUCGAGCUGGCUUCGCAUUGGGCGACUGCGCAAAAGGUCUCGCAGCAUGGGCUAAGAAGACAGGUACUUCGUCUUUUCGCUAUCUCACAUCCAUGAAGAGCGGAUAUUACGAUGGCUCGGCAGAGGGCUCUGGAGGAACCGGUAGAGGGAUGUACAGGCAAGACCGUCCACCAACGCCCAUGCCCUACCGGCCCGCGGCAGAGUACGAGAGUUCAUCGAAACCUGAAGAAAACCGGUCUCUCAUGAGAUUAGUCAGUGCCAAAUCCGUGAAAUAUUUCAGCAAAAUUUCUCUGCCAGUCUUGGUUUCGGCAACAGGAACACCGGGUUAGUUUUUUGGAAUGGGUCACUAAACCU